rnacentral:lncRNA from 1 species
AUCUCGUCCUCUGCUCUAGCUGUCUCAUUUUACCUUCUGAAAUGAUGGAGGAAGUUCUGCUGAGGAUGGGGUCAGGGUAACAGCAGACUUCUGAAUAACCCUGCACCCCCAGAAACCUGCAAAGGACACAAGCCCUCUUGGUGGUCUCCUCCUGGAUGCCUUGCUUUCUCCUGGAAGAGCCCUCCCUUCCACUCCGGAUAUCACUGUGAACCUAAUUCCAAAGAAGAUAGAAAUGGGGUUAGGAAGGGAAGUUCUGCCCUCCUGGUUCUUGUCAUCCUUCUAUACUUCAAGAUGAGAUUCCUGAAAUUCCUACAAUUAUCUUGUUAUCAACCUAAGGAUGAAUGUAACACCUACAAGAGGGUGGAACCGAGUAUUCUCCCCUGGAGCCUGAGAUAUCUCUGGACUUCCUAGCAUGUCAUACAAUAAUUUCUUAUUAUGUUAUAUCAUACUAAGUUGGGGGCUCUGUUACCUGCAUCAGAAAUCAUCCUCAUAGCCAUAGGUUGGUUCAUUUAAUCUUCACUGCUGUCCAUGUGCUAUCUAUCUCCUUUUUAUAGGUUAAAAAAUGCAUUUAUCUUAAUACAGCUAGUAAGCAGCAAAGCCCAAAUUCAAUCCAGUUCUGGUUUUAAAAAUCCCUAACAUAUGGUUGGGUGCAGUGGCUCACACCUGUAAUCCCAGCACUUUGGGAGGCUGAGGUGGGCAGAUCACGAGGUCAGGAGUUUGAGAUCAGCCUGGCCAACAUGGUGAAACUCCAUCUCUACUAAAAAUACAAAAAUUAGCUGGGCGUGGUGGCACGUGCCUGUAGUCCCAGCUACUUGGGAGGCUGAGGCGGAAUAAUCACUCGAACCCAGGAAUCAGAGGUUGCAGUGAGCCGAGAUCGCGCCACUGCAUUCCAGCCUGGGCGACAGAGCGAUACUCAGUCUCAAAAAAAAAAAAAAAAAAAAGAGAAGCCCUAACCUGUGUGUCUUAGUCCAUUUUAUGCUGCUAUAACAAUACCACAGGCUGAGUAAUUUGUAAUGAACAGAAAUGUAUUUGGGUCACAGUUCUAAAAGCUGGAAAGCCCAAGAUUCAGGGGCUGCAUCUGGUGAGGGCCUCCUUGCUGUAUCAUAACACAGUAGAAGACAUCACAUGAUGAGAGUGAGCGCUCAGACUGGCAGCAGCGAGUCUUUUCACAGUCAGCAUUAAUCCAUUCAUGACGGUGGAGCCCUCAUGACCUAAACGCCUGCCAUCAGGCUGCAUCUCCCAGCACUGUUGCAUUGGGAAUUCAGUUUCGAGCAUACGCUUUUUAGGGGACAUAUUCAAACCAUAGCGAUGUGCUCAUUUUAUAUCUGUAGGAGAGUCAUGAUUUUAUCUUUUUGUUUUUUUUUUUUAAGUUGCUCUUUUUUUCUGAUUAGAGUCUCACUCUGUCGCCCAGGCUAGAGUACGUGCAGUGGCAUGAUCUUGGCUUACUGCAACCUUCGCCUCCUGGGUUCACAUGAUUCUUCCGCCUCAGCCUCCUGAGCAGCUGGGAAUACAGGUGCACACCACCACGCCGGGCUAAUUUUUGUAUUUUUAGUAGAGAUGUGGUUUCACCAUAUUGGCCAGCCUGGUGUCAAACUCUUGACCUCAUGAUCUGCCUGCCAAAGUGCUGGGAUUACGGGCGUGGGCCACCGUGCCCGGCCAAGUUGUUCUUAAAUAAGAAGUAUAGGCCAGGCACCGUGGCUCAUGCCUGUAAUCCCAGCACUUUGAGAGGCCAAGGCAGGCGGAUCAGCUGAGGUCAUGAGUUCAAGACCAGCCUGGCCAACAUGGUGAAACUCUGUCUCUAUUAAAAAUACAAAAUACAAAAAAAAAAAAUUAUCUGGGCGUGAUAGCACACACCUGUAGUCCCAGCUACUAGGGAGGUGAGGCAGGUGGAUCACUUGAACCCAGGAGGUGGAGGUUGCAGUGAGCCGAGAUCGCCCCACUGCACUCCAUCCUGGGAGAUAGAGCGAGACCCUGUCUCAAAAAGAAGAAGAAGAAAGAAGAAGGAGGAGGAGGAGGAGGAGGAAGAAGAACUGGAAUAAAGAAUGGAAAACCUCCUUCCUUCUCAACACUUGCAUAGUUGCUAAUGACCUGGUAUUUCUGGAGGUCAUGAUGGGGGAAAAGAUGGUGAUCAGUAAGAGAUCAUCCAGAGCUUAUUUUGUCGUUUGGAGUAUGCUGCUGCUUCUCCUGGGCACAGUCCAUGGGCUGUCCUAGAGGCUGCUGUCAAGGUUGGCAGAAUGCCCAGUUUUCUUUGGUGCAAGACUACCUAGGUUCAAAUUAUGGCUCCCCAGCUCCAGUCUGAGAGGCUUGGGGCAAGUUACUUAAACAUUCUGUGUCCCAGUGCCCCCAUCUGUAAAAUGAGGAUAACACCAGAUCCUAGCUGGUGGGAUUCUUGUAAAGAUUAAAUGAGUAAAUACAUAUAUAAAUCACUUGGAAUAGUGCCUGGCCUAUUUGUAAAAGCAAGUUUUAGCUGACACUAUUAUUUUUUUCCUCCUACAACACCUAUUAUUAAUAGAAUAGACACUGAUAAUUGAAAUCACGCAGUCUCCAUGAUCCAUAUGUUACUUCGACAGAGAUCGUAUUUAGUUAAUUCUCUCCCAGAGUUGGUGGCCAGUACCAUUGGGUGCAAAUGAGGACAGCCCAAAGAAGGGAGCCAUUCACAGACUGGCCUGGGGGUGUCCUGAAGCCAAAUGAGGAUGCCUUCCAUGUUACUUCAAACUUAAAAAGAUGAAAGACUUUGGGCUGUUUUCACAACAGAAGCACCUAUGACACCCCUGGGAUGGGUGCUGUCUAUGAAUGGCUCCCUUCUUUGAGCUGUCUUCAUGCCACUCCUUUUACAUCUUGAUUAUGUACUUCUUGAAACACCUCACACUGUGCCUAGGACAUAGUAGGUGCCUAAUACAUUUGAGCUACAAUACUAUGAACCCACCAAAGAAAUCACUUUAUGAAGAAUAAUAGCUGUCAUUCACAUAUUUCUUUACAGAGCAUUUUCCAAAACCUUAUUUCUUAAAUUGUCACAGCUUCUUUGAUUAUAAGGCAGGAAGGGGAAAAUCUUAUUAUAUUUUCCAGGAAACAAAUAAAUAAACUAAAGUCCAGUGGGCUUGAGUAAAUGGCCCAAGGUUCGUCCAGUUAGUGGAAGUUUGGUCUCCUGAAUGCAGGUUUCAGGUUCCAAAUCCCAGGUAUUUCCUAUUGCCUGGGGGAAAAACUGGGAAACUGUUGAUUCCUCUCCUCCCACCAUCCCAUUUGCCCUCUGUUCAGUCAAGCCAGAUAUGGACAGAGCCACCUUUUAGAGAAACCAUAACAAAGCCAUUCUUCUUUAAGUGAGUCUCACUGCCAGUGCAAUCAUAAGCCACUCCACACAGUCAACAAUCAUGGAGGAGAUGCCAGGAACUGUGCUAAGUACUGGGGAUAUAAAGAGGAAUAAGUCAGGCCAGGAACUACAUUCUAGCACACCUGAGAGACAGAGGUGAGGUGUGUGCUCCCAGAGACAGGGUAGGAGGCAGCAAUGGCCAGAAUAAAAGCAAAAUGUCAACAACAGCUCAGAAACAAGGAAAGUCAUAAUGUAAAUAACAAAGAAACAACUGCAAAGAAAGUAGAACUUGAUUUCCAAGCCUCCCUCCUCUGUCCCCAUUCCCAGUAUCCCCUGUUAGAAUGUCUUAUGGCUAAAAUGAUCUUGUAGUUUGACCAUAUCCUGAGCUAGAAGCAGCAGGGGAGAUUUCCUCUUUGAGGGCUUCCUCCUCACCUGGACAGAUGGGGGACUACUGCAGGGUAUUUGGGGGUGGAAUAUGGGAAAUAGGGAGGAGAGAAUCACUGUGUCUGUCAUCUCUGUAGACUAAGUCUCAGAUCUCUUCUGGCUUGCCUGUGAAUUACUGGUUUUGUAUAAUGUGUGUGAAUCUGUUUGUGCAUUUAAUGCUGAGAAUUAAAUCGUUCCAUUACAAGACUGUAAAUCAAAGAGUGAAUGGAGGGAGAUUCCAAAGUGAUUCUUCCUCCUGAUGGGGUGGGAGGGACCACCAGCACCACCACCACAACAAGGCCCACCACUCAUAGGACUCAUCUACCUCUUCAAAAGGGUGCAGCCUACGUGGGAGAUUUUUGUUCUAC